rnacentral:lncRNA from 1 species
CUACCAGGGGCGUAGCUGAGUUGAAAUAAAGUGCAAGCAUAUAUCGCCGAGCGGAGCGAGGCGAAAAUUUUUUGAGCCGAGCGAAGCGAUUUUUUUGGACCAUUUUAUGAUGAAAAUGAUAAAUACCCUAUCUGUUUCUUACUAUACCAUAUUUCAAGAAACGAUAGUAACAUCCUAGUGGGUUUCGUAAUUUGGAAACCCGGGAACAGAUAAGACACAAAAUGACAAGCAAAAACUUUCAACAUUGAAAACUAACUACAGAUGAAAAACACGGACCCCGAAAAAAUGUGGCGACCUCCGGUGCUCCGAAGGUAAGCAGGUCCUGCUUCUUGCAAGACACCCGUGGUGUUUCUCACGAGGGUCAUUUUAAAAUCAAAUGAGAGGUUUCUACGACAACGGUAGAAGGUCAUUUGUAACACAGAUACCCUAGGUGAAUCAAUAGUCUUUUGGACGAAAAUGACAAUGGGAAUACGAAAUCGAACGGCUACUUUUAAGUCUUGACUUAUAAGUAAGGGAAAUAAAUCUAAGAUGUUUUCAAGGUGAUUUUAUUGAGCCUGUAUAAUUAAAUGUUAAUACUGCAUGUAAGACUUAAACUAAAGUAUAGACUAGUUAAUAUCCAAAGUCCAUAUAUCUAUUUUUUGCCAAGGCAAAUGAUCUCAGAACUCCCUCGGUGUCAAUAUCCAUUUCUCUGUGAACAUGUAUGAGGGCCAACGAAGAUAGUCUGUCCUGUACCAUGGUUGAACGGAGAUAAGUUUUCAGUCGGCGUAAUGAACUAAAUGACCGUUCGGUAGUUGACGUAGUUACUGGCAUUGUAACUAGGAUUGCGAAAAUUGCAAAUAUUGAAGGAUAUAGCUCCUUAUUAGUCACUGAUAGAGAGGCCUUCAGAGAUUUGGGCUUCUCUAUAACAUCUGGACUCGACCAGCGUCUCUGCCAUCUCUGUACCUCUGAGUUAAAGGUUCC